CGAAAUUCCAACUUUACAGAGAGCUGCUAUACGGAUUUUGAGUCAACCUUGUAGUCUUCAUUGGUGUAGAUGGAACUGGAGCACUUUUGAUGGUGUUCAUGAAAAAAGACGGGAAAGGUUAGAGCUUGAUAGAUUCAAUGAUCUUGUUUAUGUGCACUGCAAUCUCUGGUUACGGGCACUUAUAAGAAGUAAAGAUGGCAAAUGGAAGCCAAUCAACUUCGACGAAAUAGAUGUUGGUGCUGAAUGGCCUACUGAAGCUGAAGUUGCGCCAUGCACUUACUUGGAUGAUUCAUGGUUGCAACUUGCACACUUCACCCCUUGAAGGCAG
rnacentral:misc_RNA from 1 species